UAUGGCAGACUAGUGCAAUGGGUUUAAACUCCAUUUAUAAAGACUCAAUCCUUUUAUUAAAA
rnacentral:tRNA from 1 species